UACGGAGGAGGCAAGCGUUAUCCGGAAUUAUUGGGCGUAAAGCGUCCGUAGGUGGUUGUCCAAGUCAGUUGUUAAAGCAUAGAGCUUAACUCUAUAUCGGCAAUUGAAACUGGAUGACUCGAGUGCGAUAGGGGCAAGGGGAAUUCCCAGUGUAGCGGUGAAAUGCGUAGAUAUUGGGAAGAACACCAGCGGCGAAAGCGCGCUACUGGGCCAUUACUGACACUCAUGGGCGAAAGCUAGGGGAGCGAAAGGG
rnacentral:rRNA from 1 species